UAGCUAAGCGGUAAAGCGCUUGGCUUCCAAACCGGGUGACCCGGGUUCGAAUCCUGG
rfam:Biomphalaria glabrata isolate BB02 unplaced genomic scaffold LGTN_random_Scaffold73, whole genome shotgun sequence.